ACUCCUACGGGAGGCAGCAGUAGGGAAUUUUCCGCAAUGGACGAAAGUCUGACGGAGCAAUGCCGCGUGAGUGAUGAAGGUUUUCGAAUCGUAAAGCUCUGUUGUAAGGGAAGAAUAGCAAGAAUAGGAAAUGAUUCUUGUCUGACGGUACCUUACCAGAAAGCCACGGCUAACUACGUGCCAGCAGCCGCGGUAAUACGUAGGUGGCAAGCGUUAUCCGGAAUUAUUGGGCGUAAAGCGCAUGCAGGCGGCCUGUUAAGUCAGAUGUGAAAGCCCGGGGCUUAACCUCGGAAUUGCAUUUGAAACUGGCAGGCUAGAGUCUUGUAGAGGGGGGUAGAAUUUCAGGUGUAGCGGUGAAAUGCGUAGAGAUCUGAAGGAAUACCAGUGGCGAAGGCGGCCCCCUGGAGCAAAGACUAGACGCUCAGAUGCGAAAGCGUGGGGAGCAAACAGGAUUAGAUGAUCCCUGGUAGGUC
rnacentral:rRNA from 1 species